rfam:Aliifodinibius roseus strain DSM 21986 genome assembly, contig: Ga0134108_106
GCUGGUGUAGCUCAGGGGUAGAGCGAUUCUCUCGUAAAGAAUAGGUCGCUGGUUCGAAUCCAGUCACCAGCU